rnacentral:lncRNA from 1 species
UAUGUGAAUUUUUUUCUUUUGUACCUGUUCCAAACACAGGUCUUAAAUCAUUGUAUCUUCUUUGCAGCUCUCAAAGUGUUCUCUGGACCAGUGAUACUAGCACCACCUGGCCUUGUGAGGAAGGAAAAGGGGAACAGGAAGGAAGUUUCUAACAUUGGAAAGUACACACCAAGUGGAAUUCCAAGAACAAUGCUGGGACAUGGCAUAUGACACCCUGAACAUGAACUGAACUGGAGUAAGAAGAAAUAGUGGGUGAG